rnacentral:rRNA from 1 species
GUGGGGAAUAUUGGACAAUGGGCGAAAGCCUGAUCCAGCCAUGCCGCGUGUGUGAAGAAGGUCUUCGGAUUGUAAAGCACUUUAAGUUGGGAGGAAGGGCAGUAAGUUAAUACCUUGCUGUUUUGACGUUACCGACAGAAUAAGCACCGGCUAACUUCGUGCCAGCAGCCGCGGUAAUACGAAGGGUGCAAGCGUUAAUCGGAAUUACUGGGCGUAAAGCGCGCGUAGGUGGUUUUGUAAGUUGGAGGUGAAAUCCCCGGGCUCAACCUGGGAACGGCCUCCAAAACUGCAUGACUAGAGUACGGUAGAGGGUAGUGGAAUUUCCUGUGUAGCGGUGAAAUGCGUAGAUAUAGGAAGGAACACCAGUGGCGAAGGCGACUACCUGGACUGAUACUGACACUGAGGUGCGAAAGCGUGGGGAGCAAACAGGAUUAGAUACCCUAGUAGUCC